rnacentral:lncRNA from 1 species
AUGCCGUCAGCGCACGGCAUGCCCUGCACUGCAUCCAUAGCCCAUAGAAAAGAAAGGAAACACUCGACCCAAAAGAAGGGCAGGAGGGCUAAAUCAGCAGAAAUAGCCCUGGGACAGCGCGUGCGGGCCGCAGGCAGACCUUCCAGAACGAGGGCGGCUUUCCAGCCUUGUUCUCUUGGCCAACCGCCGCUCCCCAAGGAUGUCCCCCCAGGUCUCCCUGAAGGGGGCCGUGCCCGCCAUAGGGUCUGUUCCACUGUGACCCACGCUCCCCCCAUGGGGCCCCAUCUAGUCCCACAGCUCCCCUUCCACCAGGUCAGCAGAGGGGCAGGUGACCAACAACUCACAUGUUCUGAGGAUAUCUUUGCUAGAACCUCAGGGCUGGGUGUGCCCACCACCUCCAUGAUACGCUUCAGCUGGUCGAUGUCUGCCUGGCUCAGGAAAGGUCCAAUGGCCAGGUAUGGACUCUCCUGGGAUCCCAGACCCCAGACCUUGGGUCACUGCGCAGACCCUGCUCUCCUGCCGCUGGGGACAGUGAGCCCACAGUGGCAUGGUGUGGGGCAGAGGAGGCAAGACUGGCCAGAAAGCGCCGGAGCCCACGUCCCUAGACCCCCACCCUGCAAUGGGAGGCCCAACCUUCCUCCCCAACCUGAACCAAGGAUACAGUCACUUCCGGGGAAGAGAGCCUUUCCCUGGAGCAGCUCCUUCAGCUGGUCCAGGUCUUGGCCAAGGUCAGGAACACAGAGUGGGCUAGAGACGGGGCUCGCCCACCCACCUGCUCCUGGCAGAUGUCCCCCCAGGUGCAGGGUAAGCCCCUCAAACCCAGCCCCAGGUGCAGGGUAAGCCCCAGUCCGCCCCUCGGUGUAGGAUACGGUCGUUGCCUUUGAAGAGCGUCUUCCCUGUGAUCAUCUCAGCCAUGAUGCAGCCCACGGACCAGAUGUCCACUGAAGCAGAAGGUGUCGCCAUCAGUCUGCCCACCCCAAGUCCCGCCCCAGAGAGCUGGGGGCUGGGCCCACAGCCCCACCCACACAUCCAGGCCCCUUCCUGACGGCGCCCUGGGCAGGGCAAGGGGCAGCCCAGGAGCUGCGGUGCCCUGCCUCUCUGAAGAUCUGGUCCUGAGCACCUGGCCUGUCCCCAAGGCCCCUGGCCUCCGGGCCCGCCCACCCCCGCAGGCCGCGCCCCGCGGGGCUGCCGUCACCUGUCUGGCUGUAGUGCAUCCAGUUUAGCAUGAUCUCGGGGGCCC